GGCCCGUUAGCUCAGUUGGUUAGAGCGUCGUGCUAAUAACGCGAAGGUCGCGGGUUCGAUCCCCUUACGGGCCA
rnacentral:tRNA from 1 species